UACAGAGGGUGCGAGCGUUAAUCGGAAUUACUGGGCGUAAAGCGCGCGUAGGCGGCUUUGCAAGUCGAGUGUGAAAUCCCCAGGCUUAACCUGGGAACUGCAUUCGAGACUGCAUAGCUAGAGUAUGGGAGAGGGAAGUGGAAUUUCAGGUGUAGCGGUGAAAUGCGUAGAUAUCUGAAGGAACAUCAGUGGCGAAAGCGACUUCCUGGACCAAUACUGACGCUCAUGUGCGAAAGCGUGGGGAGCAAACAGGG
rnacentral:rRNA from 1 species